rnacentral:rRNA from 1 species
AACGAACGCUGGCGGCAGGCCUAACACAUGCCAGUCGAGCGCCCCGCAAGGGGAGCGGCGGACGGGUGAGUAACGCGUGGGAACGUACCCUUUGCUACGGAAUAGCCUCGGGAAACUGGGAGUAAUACCGUAUGUGUCCUUCGGGAGAAAGAUUUAUCGGCAAGGGAUCGGCCCGCGUUGGAUUAGGUAGUUGGUGGGGUAAUGGCCUACCAAGCCGACGAUCCAUAGCUGGUUUGAGAGGAUGAUCAGCCGCACUGGGACUGAGACACGGCCCAGACUCCUACGGGAGGCAGCAGUGGGGAAUCUUAGACAAUGGGCGCAAGCCUGAUCUAGCCAUGCCGCGUGAGCGAUGAAGGCCUUAGGGUUGUAAAGCUCUUUCAGGGGGGAAGAUAAUGACUGUACCCCCAGAAGAAGCCCCGGCUAACUCCGUG